rnacentral:rRNA from 1 species
UACGGAGGAUGCAAGCGUUAUCCGGAUUUAUUGGGUUUAAAGGGUGCGUAGGCGGAUGAUUAAGCGUGAGGUGAAAUGCCACUGCUCAACAGUGGAACUGCCUCGCGAACUGGUUGUCUGGAAUGCCCCUGCCGUGGGAGGAAUGUGUGGUGUAGCGGUGAAAUGCAUAGAGAUCACACAGAACACCGAUUGCGAAGGCAUCUCACGAAGGGGUGAUUGACGCUGAGGCACGAAAGCGUGGGGAU